UUUCUCUAUAAUUAAAAUAAUCCAAGAAAAAUUCUAAAUACCUUCUAUUUCAAGCUUUUCAAGUUGGAUUCACCAAAUAUAUCAUAUAACGUGAAGUCUUGCUUGAAAAUGCACCAAAUAUCUAGUUGUGGAAGAUAGAGGAAAAAUUACAAGAAUAAAAUCCUAACAACUCUAAUAGAAUCUUAAAUAAACUUUAAUUAAAUCUCAAUAAUGCUAAUCAAUCUUUAAUCAAAUCAAAAAGAAAUCUUAAAGAAAUUAUGAAAGAAACAUGAAAAAAUCCUAAAGAAACAUUAGAGAAAUAUUUAAUAAAUCUAAAAUAAAUCUUAAUCAAAUCCUAUUUUAAUCCAAAUUGAAAUCCUAAUGGAUCUUAACUAAAUCUUAAGUCAGAUCCUAAUUAAAUCCUAAACCAAAUCCUAGACAAAUUCUAAAUUCUAAAUCAAAUCCUAGACAAAUCCUAAACAAAUCCUAAAUCAAAUCCUAGACAAAUCUUAAAUCCUAAAUUAAAUCCUAAACAAAUCUUAAAUCCUAAAUCAAAUCCUAAAUAAUUCCUAAAUCUUAAAUCAAAUCUUAAAUGAAUUCCAGACAAAUUCUAAAUCCUAAACCAAACCCUAGACAAAUCCUAAAUCUUAAAUCAAAUUCUAGACAAAUUCUUAACCAAAACCUAAACAAAUCCUAAACUUUAAACUAAAUCCUAGAUAAAUCCUAAAUGCUAAAUAAAACUUUAAUCAAAACCUAACUACGUCAAACCAAUCCUAAAGUAGAUUAGAAUUCUAAUAUUUAUUAAUUAAAUCAUUGACCUUGCUAAAAAAAUUUACACACCUUUUAAUUUCUU
rnacentral:lncRNA from 1 species